rnacentral:lncRNA from 1 species
CACAUUUCUGGGAGGAGCAAGGCUGUGGGUAACACAUGUAAGGCAAAGCUUCUGGGAACCUGUGAAAGAGAAGGCAUCACCAGCAUGGAGAGGUUCUCCUCUGAGGGUCUGCCAUCAGUGUGGAAGAAGACCAAAUCAGGUGUAUUAUUAAUUAAAUAUUACCCAUGUAGAGAGUAAGUCUUAUGAGGAGAGCUGAGGGAGCUGGGGGUGUUCAGCCUGGAGAAAAGGCAGCUGAGGAGAGACCUUGCUCUCUACAACUACUGAAAGGAGGUGAUAGAGACAAAAGGAAAUGGCCUCAAGAUGUGCCAGGGGAGGUUCAGAUCACAGAAUCACAGAAUUCUGGGAAUUCUGGGAAGGGACCUCUGAGAUCAUCGAGUCCAACCUUAAAAAAACAAAACAACAAGAACAAGAGCAACAAAACAAAAAACACAACACCCCACGUUUUUCCAGGCCAUGGCCAGGAGAGAUGUAUCACAGCCUUAGAGCUGGGUGAAGACAGCUGGACCACCGGGACAACCGAGGGAGAGAGGACACCCAUGGAAACCAAAUUUGUGCUGAACACAAUGUACAGGAGAAAUCCAGAAGAACUAAGCACUGGCUCUGGUUUUCUUUGGAAGCCACUCAGAGACGCAUUGCCUCACCACCGACCAUAAAAGUGCUUUUCAGCUGUGGUGGAAAACAGCGUUUCUGACUGGAAAAGCUCUCCUUCAAUCCCGAGGCCACAGAAAGUCAGCAGAUGAUAAACAACAUGGUGGGGUCUCUCCCACCUCAUGUGUGCAAUGGGCACACCAGCACUGAGACGCCUGGGAAGGUGAAUAUACCCAAGUCAUCUCUGAUGGCGUCAUAGCUCAUGCCCUGCAUGGAUCCCCUCCUGGUGACAAUACAGGGACAUAUUGUCCUCAUGCAGAGGAGCCAAGAGCCCUGCUGAGAUUCACUCCGGGAUCUAUUCCUCCGCCUGGAACUGACGCUCUCACCCACGUUUUAGAGACACAGAGCACUCCUGACAAAACAUAUACCAAGUUCUGGCUUAACACCCUCUGCCUGCAGCUUAAGAAUAUUUUAACACCAAAAGCGGGACCUCCCCAGCUCACUAAAACCCCACUAGUGAUAAAAUACAUGACCCAAACCAAAUUUUAUUCUCUAUAUUUUGAUUAUAAAAAAUCUACCAGUCGAUACCAUUUUGAGCCACAUUAUAAUGAGUGUGCAAAGAUCCACACCACCCCCCCCAAAAAAAAGUAGUUAUCUGGUAUAAUUUUAUGAUAGAAUAUUUUUAUAAAAUCAUUUGUACUAAUUUAAGCAUUUAUCAUUAUAUGCAAAAAGAUUUCUUGAUGAGAAUAUUAUAGACGGUGCAUGUUUUUGACAUUAGCAUUUUAUUUGGAUGACUAAUCUUGCAGAUGUGAAAUUUUAAUGAAUUAUUCAUGAAAAAUCUCUCCUCUGAAAUUUCAGUUUGCUGCUAAUGCUAGUUAUUAAACAUUUUAUUUUUCUUUAUAAAACUUGAUGAAGAAAAUAAAUGCAUGCUUACUCGAAAGAACA